GAAACCAACAGGGAUUGCCCCAGUAACGGCGAGUGAAGCGGCAAGAGCUCAAAUUUGAAAUCUGGCCUCCCCCGGGGGCCCGAGUUGUAAUUUGCAGAGGAUGCUUCGGGUGCGGCCGCCGUCUAAGUUCCUUGGAACAGGACGUCAGAGAGGGUGAGAAUCCCGUCUUGGGCGGGCGGUCCGCGCCCGUGUGAAGCUCCUUCGACGAGUCGAGUUGUUUGGGAAUGCAGCUCUAAGCGGGUGGUAAAUUUCAUCUAAAGCUAAAUAUUGGCCGGAGACCGAUAGCGCACAAGUAGAGUGAUCGAAAGGUUAAAAGCACCUUGAAAAGGGAGUUAAACAGCACGUGAAAUUGUUGAAAGGGAAGCGCUUGCGGCCAGACUCGGGGGCGGGGUUCAGCGGGUGCUCGUCGCCCGUGUAUUCCUCGUCUCCCGGGCCAGCAUCAGUUUCGACGGCCGGUCAAAGGCCCCCGGAAUGUGUCGUCUCUCGGGACGUCUUAUAGCCGGGGGUGCAAUGCGGCCCGUCGGGACUGAGGAACGCGCUCCGGCUCGGAUGCUGGCGUAAUGGCCGUAAGCGGCCCGUCUUGAAACACGGACCAAGGAGUCUAACAUCCACGCGAGUGUUCGGGUGUCAAACCCGUGCGCGCAGUGAAAGCGAACGGAGGUGGGAGCCUUAGGGCGCACCAUCGACCGAUCCUGAAGUCUUCGGAUGGAUUUGAGUAGGAGCGUGGCCGUUGGGACCCGAAAGAUGGUGAACUAUGCCUGAAUAGGGUGAAGCCAGAGGAAACUCUGGUGGAGGCUCGCAGCGGUUCUGACGUGCAAAUCGAUCGUCAAAUUUGGGCAUAGGGGCGAAAGACUAAUCGAACCAUCUAGUAGCUGGUUCCUGCCGAAGUUUCCCUCAGGAUAGCAGUGACGAGAUUCCAGUUUUAUGAGGUAAAGCGAAUGAUUA
rnacentral:rRNA from 1 species